GUUAAUUAUUCAAUUAAAAGCGUUUUUAAUAAAAAUUAUGUUUUAACAUGAGAAAUUUAAUUUUGUAAAAGCGUUUGCUAAUUAUUAGCAGUUAUGACUUCAAAACAUUCAAUCUAUCUUUAUUGAUUAUGUUACUCUGACGUCAAAUGAAAACAAAUGCAUCAGCAGUCAUAUUAAUUGACAUGUGAAGAAUAGGAGGAAAUCCAUUAAGUAUUUUUGAUAAUUGAACCCGUCAUUUCGAAAAGGUCACACUUUUUUCGAAUUUCACUUUUUAAUGCAAUUUUAUUUAUUCAAGUGUUUUACAUAUUCCCUUAGAAGGAGAAACAUUUUCAUAUGCCACAAGUCAACUUAAAAUGCAAAUGAAAAUUAAAGUCUGUUUGAAAAUGGCACAAGUCCCGGACUUAUGCCUUUUUCAAGUGAAACGAAGCGCAACUGUAGUGACUUAAUCUCACUUUAUUUGUAACAAAAAUGGAAAAUCGUGAGCUUGCUGAAAAUGCAUAUAAAUCAAGAUAAAGAGUGUUUCGUAUAAGAAACAGUGAAAGUAUAAACACGAAAAAAUUAAAAAAGCCAAAAUUGCUGGAGAAGCUUAUAAAAACCAUAAAGGAAAUGAUGUGGCACCAAGGCAAACAGGUGCUUCUUGCAGAUGUAAUUUGAAAUGUAUGGAGCUUGUAUCUGAAGAUGUUAUAGAAAGUACAAUUCAGUUUGUUAACAGAUUUGAUAGUAAAAAUGCCCAAGACACAUACUUGCAGUCAUUAAUUGAAAAGAAGGAAAUAAAGAGAAGACGGUUUAGAUCUGAAGAACCAUUUUUUAUACCAUAAAAUAUGUACUAAUAUUUA